rnacentral:rRNA from 1 species
UACGAAGGGGGCUAGCGUUGCUCGGAAUCACUGGGCGUAAAGCGCACGUAGGCGGCUUUUUAAGUCAGGGGUGAAAUCCUGGAGCUCAACUCCAGAACUGCCUUUGAUACUGAGAGGCUUGAGUCCGGGAGAGGUGAGUGGAACUGCGAGUGUAGAGGUGAAAUUCGUAGAUAUUCGCAAGAACACCAGUGGCGAAGGCGGCUCACUGGCCGUACUGACGCUGAGGUGCGAAGCGUGGGAGCAACAGG